UACGGGGGGGGCAAGCGUUGUUCGGAAUUACUGGGCGUAAAGGGCUCGUAGGCGGCCAACUAAGUCGGAUGUGAAAUCCCCAGGCUCAACCUGGGAACUGCAUCCGAUACUGGAUGGCUUGAAUCCGGGAGAGGAAUGCAGAAUUCCAGGUGUAGCGGUGAAAUGCGUAGAUAUCUGGAGGAAUACCGGUGGCGAAGGCGGCAUCCUGGACCGGCAUUGACGCUGAGGAGCGAAAGCUAGGGGAGCAAACGGG
rnacentral:rRNA from 1 species